GACUGACUCUUUGCUCCAGGUUUAAAUGAUCGGUUGUGUUCAAAUGUUCACAAGACAAGAGGAGGUUUAAAAUAGAAUUGUUUUUGGAUUUUUUUGCAGAGACUAAAACAGCAUAGAUCCCCAUCCAGACUAAAGCAGCAACAUUUACAGAGGCCAGCUGAGCAGACAACAUGAAUGUCGUUCUCCUGAUCACCAUUACUUUCACUCUCAUCCUUGUUCAUGGGUCCCCCAAGAAAGUGGCUCACAAUCAACAUCCUUGUGAGAGAAAGAACCAAAACAAUGCAUACAAUAAAUUUGUUUGGAAACACAUCCUUAAGAAGACCUUUGACAAAUCAUCAACGUCUGAAUGGGAAAAGUACCUACGAAUGAAGCACCUCUGCAAAAGACGUCGCCAGACCUUCUUCAUGAAAUCGGAUGAGAAAAACGUUAAGAAGAUCUGCAACGGCCAUGGCGUUAUUAAUAAUGAACACGACAACUUAUGCACAAGUGACUCAAAGAUGUUGGUAUAUUAUCUCAAUGUCACCUCGAACUGUAAAAUUCUAAGUAAAGAAGAAUUCAGGAAAUA